CACGUAGGGGACGAGCGUUGUCCGGAUUCAUUGGGCGUAAAGCGCGUGUAGGCGGCUUUGCAAGUCGGGUGUGAAAUCCCGUGGCUCAACUGCGGGUCUGCAGCCGAUACGGGCAGGCUAGAGUUCGGUAGGGGAGACUGGAAUUCCUGGUGUAGCGGUGAAAUGCGUAGAUAUCAAGAGGAACACCUGCGGCGAAGGCGGGUUGCUGGGCCGACACUGACGCUGAUGCGCGAAAGCUAGGGGAGCGAACGGG
rnacentral:rRNA from 1 species